AUUGAAUCUAAGUGAUGAGUGUAUGAGGGUUCAUUGUACUUUUCCCUCUGCUUUUGUAUAUGUUUGAAAUUUUUCAUAAUAAAAAUUUUUAAAUAAAUAUAAGUGACUGCUUUAGCCCCAAUUUUCUAGAAAACAGUGCUUAAGAGAAAGUGCAUGAGCUAAAAUUGUAUUGGGGUAGGGGGUGGCAGGUGCAGUCCUAGAAAAGCGAGAGUGAGGGGAGAGAGGGAGUGAGGUAAGGACAGAGGGAAGGAAAAUACAGAUGGUUUGUCACAAGCUGGCUAAGGCUUCACAGGAUGUACAGUUGGCUGCUUGGUCCCAGGGGACGUCUCAAGAAGGCUGGAUGAAACCACCACAUAACAGAGCUGUCCUUCAGGAGGGGAACAGGCAGUCCCCCUGUUGAGACAUAGCAGGAGGGCCAGGGGAUUUUGUUUGUUCAGCCUCCCACUGAGCCCCACCAACACCACCCAGGCAAAAGUGGACAAUUCACUCACUCACUCUGCCCAGAUGUCAGCAGUCUAGUUGCUGCCAGUUGUGGAUGUACAGCUCAUUGGACCCUGCUGACACUAUCCUGGUGAGGAAUUGAGGAAGACCUGCUUCUGCCAGACAGGGGAUGGAAGAGCAGCAACCCCCUCAACCAGUCAACACCAACCUGGGUGGAAUCAAAGUGCUGCUGUCUGUUUCCAAAAAAGAAAUGCCAGGAAGAUAUGAAUUGUUGUGGAAUAUUCCAACAUGAAAUCAAAAAUUGAUCUAAAAUCAGAAGUAUCGAAAGCAAUAUCAAUUUCCAAAAUCAAGGCACUCUGACGCAGGGAAAUCACAAUGUAGGGUUAAACAACCUGAGAACGUUCAGCCUAUGGAAGAAACGCCUUAGAUGUAUUUUCUGUACUUCCCAGCCACAUGAUAGGUGGAAGAUAUUUACGCCAAAGCUCCCUAAUUUACAUCUCUAUCAUUCAAAAGACCAGCCCCAAAUGAUGGGCUGCCUCAAUUAUUUUGGGCUUUAUGGUGCCAAUUCAUCAUAUCAUUCUCCCUUCUGAUUCCUAAGUCAACUGAUAAAUAACCACAGUAAAAGUGGAUUGGAGAAUGUGACUUGGACUUGGGGCAAAAAUGGAAUUUUCUACAACUUUUUGCUUGAAUUGAACUCACUCAGUCACAGGCAGAUUAUCAAGCAAUGGCAUUUCUUCCAUCUCAGGAGCAGGCCUGACCUGGAAGAUUAUCCCUGAGCUAACAUGUGCUGCCAAUCCUCCUCUUUUUUCUGAGGAAGACUGGCCCUGAACUAACAUCCGUGCCCAUCUUCCUCCACUUUAUAUGUGGGAUGCCUACUACAGUAUGGCUUGCCAAGCAGUGCCAUGUCUGCAACCAGGAUCCGGACUGGCGAACCCAGGGCCGCCGAAGUGAAAUGUGCACACUUAACCAUUGCACCACUGGGCCAAACCCUACAAAGAUAUUCUUGAUAUUAAGGUCCAACUACCCCAUGUUCAAAUGCAAAUACACAUACAUACCCACUCAUAUAUGCUGUGCAGUGAAGGGAUUACCCAGAGUAAUGGAUGGAUGAUCCAUUACACACAAAAGCAAUGUCUUGGAGCCACUGCUCUUCUUGUAUACAAUUUCCAGGUGACGUCCACUUCCUCGUCUAAUCCAGUUUUAAUUUAGUCCUCAUAUUCUUAUGAUUUAUGGAUUACAUUACAAAUUUAACCACUCCUGGUAUAUCUAGUAUACAGUGCUGGAGGGAAAUACCCAUGUAGAGAGGUAACAAAAGGAGAAAAAACACACAACGGUCACUCAUUCAGAACAUAUGGUUUAUUCUGCUAGGCAGUGACUUGCAUGGGCAUAAUUUUGACUUAAUCCUUUGGAAAAUUUCUCAGGGAUCCAAUAGUGAACUUCCAGUUGGUGUUACUAUCUUUUGGAUUGAAUCUGAAGAUUUCCUAAGAGCUGAGUCUCCAUUCCCUUCUGGUUUGAGUAAAAGGCGUGGACCCCUUUUACCAGGUUUAGUUUUUUUAUUGGUGCUUCAACUCCUAUAAAGCCUCAUUGGCUGGCUAUCACAUUCAUUUUGGAUUCCCUUCUCUAAAAUCCAACAUCACAAAUCUUGUUAGGUCAUGCUCUGAAAAUUUUCAACCUUCUGAACUGAAUAGCCUAGAUUUAACCACUCCACUCAGGCCUCUGUUUUUGAAGCAACUUUGAAGGUUCUACCAUCCCUACAGCCCUCCAGAACAUGGCCUGAGGUGAGGCAGCCAGAAGAGCAGAAUCUCCUUUUUCUAAGCAGCUAUG
ensembl:lncRNA